rnacentral:rRNA from 1 species
UACGUAGGGGGCAAGCGUUGUCCGGAAUCAUUGGGCGUAAAGCGCGCGUAGGCGGCCCUGUAAGUCCGUUGUGAAAGUCAAAGGCUCAACCUUUGAAAGCCGAUGGAUACUGCAGGGCUAGAGUCCGGAAGAGGCGAGUGGAAUUCCUGGUGUAGCGGUGAAAUGCGCAGAUAUCAGGAGGAACACCGGUGGCGAAGGCGGAUCUCUGGGCCGAUACUGACGCUGAGGAGCGAAAGCGUGGGGAGCGAACAGG